rnacentral:lncRNA from 1 species
UGUUUUUGUGUGGAACACAAAGUGAACUUAUUAAGUUGUUACUGUCGGCAGGUGAUGGUGAAAUUAACCGGAAAUAAAUAUUUAAAUUGUGAAAAAUUGCUUCCGGAUUUACCAUAUAAAACCUAUAAAAUUAAAACAUUUUUAAAGCCUGUUUACUGGGCACUGGUUCGCCUAAGAUUAAUCAUGUUGCGAAUGUUUUCAUUUGGUUUCUGCCUCGUUCAGCUUGCGAUACUUUUGGCGAUUAAUCAGCCGGUUUUAGCAAAAUAUCCGGAUCCACUGUAUAAUGCGACCGUUCAAGUGGCUAAUGCUGUUGCCAAUGCGUUCUCAAACGCCUUAAGUGGAGGAACUCAACGGCCUCCAAAUUCUGCUGGCUAAAGAUUUUUUUGUGUUUUAUUCAACUGGUUAAACUAGUU